rnacentral:rRNA from 1 species
AGGAUCGGGAACCUCGGUUCUCGCAUCACUUCUUAGAGGGACUUUGCGUGUCUAACGCAAGGAAGUUUGAGGCAAUAACAGGUCUGUGAUGCCCUUAGAUGUUCUGGGCUGCACGCGCGCUACACUGAUGCAUGCAACGAGUUUUUGACCUUGGCCGGAAGGUCUAGGUAAUCUUUUGAGUAUGCAUCGUGAUGGGGAUAGAUUAUUGCAAUUAUUAAUCUUCAACGAGGAAUGCCUAGUAGGCGCAAGUCGGCAGCUUGUGCCGAUUACGUCCCUGCCCUUUGUACACACCGCCCGUCGCUGCAACCGAUCGAAGGGUCCUGUGAACUCGAUGGACAGCCCAUCCCCUUCUUGGGGUUGGGCUGGAAGUUGCGUAAAUAGAGCCCUUUAAAGGAUGCAAAAGUCGUAACACGGUUUCCGUAGGUGAACCUGCGGAAGGAUCAUUC